UGGACGGAGGACUGAUAAGUGU
rnacentral:miRNA from 1 species